CCCCGCUUAGCUCAACGGUAGAGCGUUCGGCUGUACGAAACCGAGCCAUAGAUGCGCUCUACGACCAUAUGGAUUUGUCCACGGAAUGAGAGAGAGCCAGCCAAUACCGAAAGGUUGCUAGUUCGAAUCCGGCAGCGGGGA
rnacentral:tRNA from 1 species